GUGUCAGCCGCCGCGGUAAUACGGAGGGUGCGAGCGUUGUUCGGAAUCACUGGGCGUAAAGCGCGUGUAGGCGGCUUCCUAAGUCUGGUGUGAAAUCCCGGGGCUCACCCCCGGAAGUGCACUGGAUACUGGGAAGCUCGAGUACCGGAGAGGAGGGUGGAAUUCCUGGUGUAGCGGUGAAAUGCGUAGAUAUCAGGAGGAACACCUGUGGCGAAGGCGGCCCUCUGGACGGAUACUGACGCUGAGACGCGAAAGCGUGGGGAGCAAACAGGAUUAGAUACCCGUGUAGUCC
rnacentral:rRNA from 1 species